UUAAGCGACUAAGCGUACACGGUGGAUGCCCUGGCAGUCAGAGGCGAUGAAGGACGUGCUAAUCUGCGAAAAGCGUCGGUAAGGUGAUAUGAACCGUUACAGCCGGCGAUGUCCGAAUGGGGAAACCCAGUGCAAUUCGUUGCACUAUCGUUAACUGAAUACAUAGGUUAACGAGGCGAACCGGGGGAACUGAAACAUCUAAGUACCCCGAGGAAAAGAAAUCAACCGAGAUUCCCCCAGUAGCGGCGAGCGAACGGGGAGCAGCCCAGAGUCUGAAUCAGCUUGUGUGUUAGUGGAACGGUCUGGAAAGUCCGACGGUACAGGGUGAUAGUCCCGUACACCAAAAUGCACAGGCUGUGAACUCGAAGAGUAGGGCGGGACACGUGGUAUCCUGUCUGAAUAUGGGGGGACCAUCCUCCAAGGCUAAAUACUCCUGACUGACCGAUAGUGAACCAGUACCGUGAGGGAAAGGCGAAAAGAACCCCGGCGAGGGGAGUGAAAAAGAACCUGAAACCGUGUACGUACAAGCAGUGGGAGCACCUUCGGGUGUGACUGCGUACCUUUUGUAUAAUGGGUCAGCGACUUAUAUUCUGUAGCAAGGUUAACCGUAUAGGGGAGCCGCAGGGAAACCGAGUCUUAACUGGGCGUUAAGUUGCAGGGUAUAGACCCGAAACCCGGUGAUCUAGCCAUGGGCAGGUUGAAGGUUGGGUAACACUAACUGGAGGACCGAACCGACUAAUGUUGAAAAAUUAGCGGAUGACUUGUGGCUGGGGGUGAAAGGCCAAUCAAACCGGGAGAUAGCUGGUUCUCCCCGAAAGCUAUUUAGGUAGCGCCUCGUGAACUCAUCUUCGGGGGUAGAGCACUGUUUCGGCUAGGGGGUCAUCCCGACUUACCAACCCGAUGCAAACUACGAAUACCGAAGAAUGUUAUCACGGGAGACACACGGCGGGUGCUAACGUCCGUCGUGAAGAGGGAAACAACCCAGACCGCCAGCUAAGGUCCCAAAGUCAUGGUUAAGUGGGAAACGAUGUGGGAAGGCACAGACAGCCAGGAUGUUGGCUUAGAAGCAGCCAUCAUUUAAAGAAAGCGUAAUAGCUCACUGGUCGAGUCGGCCUGCGCGGAAGAUGUAACGGGGCUAAACCAUGCACCGAAGCUGCGGCAGCGACACUAUGUGUUGUUGGGUAGGGGAGCGUUCUGUAAGCCUGCGAAGGUGUGCUGUGAGGCAUGCUGGAGGUAUCAGAAGUGCGAAUGCUGACAUAAGUAACGAUAAAGCGGGUGAAAAGCCCGCUCGCCGGAAGACCAAGGGUUCCUGUCCAACGUUAAUCGGGGCAGGGUGAGUCGACCCCUAAGGCGAGGCCGAAAGGCGUAGUCGAUGGGAAACAGGUUAAUAUUCCUGUACUUGGUGUUACUGCGAAGGGGGGACGGAGAAGGCUAUGUUAGCCGGGCGACGGUUGUCCCGGUUUAAGCAUGUAGGCUGGUUAUCCAGGCAAAUCCGGAUAAUCAAGGCUGAGGUGUGAUGACGAGGCACUACGGUGCUGAAGUAACAAAUGCCCUGCUUCCAGGAAAAGCCUCUAAGCAUCAGGUAACAUCAAAUCGUACCCCAAACCGACACAGGUGGUCAGGUAGAGAAUACCAAGGCGCUUGAGAGAACUCGGGUGAAGGAACUAGGCAAAAUGGUGCCGUAACUUCGGGAGAAGGCACGCUGGUGUGUAGGUGAAGUCCCUGCGGAUGGAGCUGAGACCAGUCGAAGAUACCAGCUGGCUGCAACUGUUUAUUAAAAACACAGCACUGUGCAAACACGAAAGUGGACGUAUACGGUGUGACGCCUGCCCGGUGCCGGAAGGUUAAUUGAUGGGGUUAUCCGUAAGGAGAAGCUCUUGAUCGAAGCCCCGGUAAACGGCGGCCGUAACUAUAACGGUCCUAAGGUAGCGAAAUUCCUUGUCGGGUAAGUUCCGACCUGCACGAAUGGCGUAAUGAUGGCCAGGCUGUCUCCACCCGAGACUCAGUGAAAUUGAACUCGCUGUGAAGAUGCAGUGUACCCGCGGCAAGACGGAAAGACCCCGUGAACCUUUACUAUAGCUUGACACUGAACAUUGAGCCUUGAUGUGUAGGAUAGGUGGGAGGCUUUGAAGCGUGGACGCCAGUCUGCGUGGAGCCAACCUUGAAAUACCACCCUUUAAUGUUUGAUGUUCUAACGUUGGCCCCUGACCGGGGUUGCGGACAGUGUCUGGUGGGUAGUUUGACUGGGGCGGUCUCCUCCCAAAGCGUAACGGAGGAGCACGAAGGUUAGCUAAUCCUGGUCGGACAUCAGGAGGUUAGUGCAAUGGCAUAAGCUAGCUUGACUGCGAGCGUGACGGCGCGAGCAGGUGCGAAAGCAGGUCAUAGUGAUCCGGUGGUUCUGAAUGGAAGGGCCAUCGCUCAACGGAUAAAAGGUACUCCGGGGAUAACAGGCUGAUACCGCCCAAGAGUUCAUAUCGACGGCGGUGUUUGGCACCUCGAUGUCGGCUCAUCACAUCCUGGGGCUGAAGUAGGUCCCAAGGGUAUGGCUGUUCGCCAUUUAAAGUGGUACGCGAGCUGGGUUUAGAACGUCGUGAGACAGUUCGGUCCCUAUCUGCCGUGGGCGCUGGAGAAUUGAGGGGGGCUGCUCCUAGUACGAGAGGACCGGAGUGGACGCAUCACUGGUGUUCGGGUUGUCAUGCCAAUGGCACUGCCCGGUAGCUAAAUGCGGAAGAGAUAAGUGCUGAAAGCAUCUAAGCACGAAACUUGCCCCGAGAUGAGUUCUCCCUGAGACUUUAAGUCUCCUGAAGGAACGUUAAAGACGAUGACGUUGAUAGGCCGGGUGUGUAAGCGCAGCGAUGCGUUGAGCUAACCGGUACUAAUGAACCGUGAGGCUUAACCUU
rnacentral:rRNA from 3 species